AUUGAACGCUGGCGGCAUGCCUAACACAUGCAAGUCGAACGGCAGCACAGCAGUAGCAAUACUGUGGGUGGCGAGUGGCGGAUGGGUGAGGAAUACGUCGGAAUCUGCCCAGUCGUGGGGGAUAACUAGCCGAAAGGUUAGCUAAUACCGCAUACGACCGAGAGGUGAAAGCGGGGGACCGCAAGGCCUCGCGCGAUUGGAUGAGCCGACGUCGGAUUAGCUAGUUGGCGGGUAAAGGCCACCAAGGCGACGAUCCGUAGCUGGUCUGAGAGGAUGAUCAGCCACACUGGAACUGAGACACGGUCCAGACUCCUACGGGAGGCAGCAGUGGGGAAUAUUGGACAAUGGGCGCAAGCCUGAUCCAGCAAUGCCGCGUGUGUGAAGAAGGCCUUCGGGUU
rnacentral:rRNA from 1 species